CCUACGGGAGGCAGUAGUGAGGAAUAUUGGUCAAUGGGCGCGAGCCUGAACCAGCCAAGUAGCGUGAAGGAUGACUGCCCUACGGGUUGUACACUUCUUUUAUAAAGGAAUAAAGUGAGGCACGUGUGCCUUUUUGUAUGUACUUUAUGAAUAAGGAUCGGCUAACUCCGUGCCAGCGGCCGCGGUAAUACGGAGGAUCCGAGCGUUAUCCGGAUUUAUUUGGUUUAAAGGGAGCGUAGAUGGGUUGUUAAGUCAGUUGUGAAAGUUUGCGGCUCAACCGUAAAAUUGCAAUUGAUACUGGCAGUCUUGAGGACAGUUGAGGUAGGCGGAAUUCGUGGUGUAGCGGUGAAAUGCUUUGAUAUCACGAAGAACUCCGAUUGCGAAGGCAGCUUACUAAACUGCCACUGACAUUGAUGCUCGAAAGUGUGGGUAGCAAACAGGAUUAGAUACCCCAGUAGUC
rnacentral:rRNA from 1 species